CUCGCAGAGGAUCUUUGACGUAUUCUUUCAUCAGUAGAAGUCAAGCUAGUCGUCACAGUAAAAGUGAGCUCUGAAGAUAGCUCAUAACUGACUAUUUGGGCUCUGAACGUUUCAGCCUUGGGACAUUUUCGUCUUUGUGUCCCAGCACUGGUGGGGCAGUGCCCCAGCACCCUCUAUUGACUAGCCGCCUCUGAUCUCUAGGUCAAAGGAAUUGUAACUCAUCAGAUGGACCUUCGAUCUCAUAAAUCAUUGUCAGAGCAUCCUGUCCGAUCCUGUGAGCACCGAGUGUCAACUAUGAUAGCAAACACAAAAGUCUGUAUUGUUCCAGGCCUCUGGGAAGAGUUUAUCGCAUGUGCUCAUUGAAACACAUACAGUGUGAAUAAUGCCAACAAUGACCCUCAUACAAGCAAGCUCGCUGUAGUCACUGGGCUGCAGAAGUCGGGAGGGUCUCUGUGUUUUGUUUCCAUCAUCAAAGCUAUUGGGUUUGAGCUCUCCACCUAUCACUCAGCAAUGCUCAUGGCCACUUGGACCCUGAAAUUUUACCCCGGGCUGCUGAGAGGAGCGGGUGGAGGGGCCAAAGAGACGUACGUCUGCUUGGUCUUGCUCUGCACGGCCGGGGGUCACUUGGCCAUUCUUCUGUUGCACAAAAGACUGCUUCAAGUGCCUCUGUGACAAUGGCCCUUAGAUCACUGGAGCGUUAUGAUUACUGGUUAACUUGAAUGCACUCUGUAUUAAUUGAGCCAGACUUAAUGUGAACUUUUUCGUUUUUGGUUGGCAUAGAAACAAGGUAGUAAUGUCCAGUAACCAUGACUAAAUGUUCAUGGUGCCCUGCAUUAGAUUAUUUUUUUUCUUUGCUAGGCUCACAUGAUUAAGACUUGUGCUCACCGUGAGACUGCGAAUGAGACCAACCUCUCUUUUUCAACUUCUCAACAAACAUUGUCAUUCACAAGCAGUCCAUAAUGAACGUGCUCAAACUCCUUGUACACAAAAGGAGUGCCUCAUGAUUUCUCAAGACACGCCUUGAACUGAGUACAAAGGAAUGUCAGAAUGCUGAUGCAAAAGAGCCCAACCACCACUGUUAUUAUCCUGUAGUUUAAUAUAUAGCAUAUAAUAAAUCAAGGGAGAUGAGAUUACAUUUAAAAAAAAAAAAAAGAAGUUUGGACACGCCAUUGUUCAGGUGGCAUCAUAGCCAUACUUCAGCUCAGGAUAGUACUGAGCCUCUUCUGUACUGCAGACCCCCCUCAUUUACACUUAUUUUGAGACUUUCCAGCAGUCCGGCUUCUUUCAGCACAAGUCGAGUCAGCCAGUGACAGACAGGCACCCUCAUGUCAAAACAUUGUCUGCUGCUGCCAGUCUGCAGCAACCUCAGACAGCAGGCAGCCAGCCGCAGUUACACUCUCACCCUGUGUAUCGCUGACAUGUGCACUGAUUCAUCCCAGCACAUGGUACUUGUGGUAUGAAUGUAAAUAGCAUCCCAGUCAUCACUUUAAUACAUGCAAGCACUGGCCAGAGUUUUUGUACACCUCCACAAAUGAAUGAGAUUCAAAGCAAGACCUUUUUCUGAAGCAAGGAGGGAUAAUUCAUUGUCAUAAUAUUAGGUACACUAAGUAAUGAGAUUCAGUAGUGACACAGUUCAGUGUCUAGUGAGUAUAGACCAGGAUUUCCAUACCUGGCAGGUAAGGGAUAACAUCCAUCCAUUAGCCAGCAAUUUAGAGUUGUCAAUGAACGUACCACGCAUGUUUUUGGGAUGUGGGAGGAAACCGGAGUGCCUGGAGAAACCCCAUGCAGGCACGGGGGAGAACAUGCAAACUCCACACAGGCGGGGCCGGGGUUUGAACCCAGGUCCUCAGAACUGUAAAGCAGACGCUCUAACCAGUCGACCACCGUGCCGCCUAAGAGAUGACAUUUGCAUGUUUGUUUUUUUUCAAAUUUAGUAUAAAGUUGUCUUCGUCAUCUUCAAAUGAGAGUUUGUAUGGGUUGAGAGAUCAUUUAAACUAGGUUAGGAACCAUUAGUGUAUGAAAAAUGCAUUAAUGAUGAAUGAACUGAUCCAUCUUUGCAGUAUAUGAGGAUCUAGAAUAUUUGAAAUAAAACGAUCACUGCAAAUAUUUUACGGAAACCAGGAAUAGCAUAAUAGACAUGUUUUAUUUGAGUUAACACGUCCUGAAUGUGUGAAUUCCAUUUAAAACCUGGGACAGCACACCUGGGAAAACUGCUCCGUGAGAAGCCGGGACCAAUUGUCACAGUGCGCUGAAAUGACCCAGAUACAAAAGAAAUGCAAAGUUGAAAGGAAUUUUGGCAUCACUGAUAUGGCAUCACUUCUUGUGACUGGCUCCAAGUUAGCCCUUAGAUCGUUCACAAGCUUUUAAUGUUGCAUAGCUGAAUAGACCAUCCAGUUAUGUCUCACUCAUUUUUGUUUGCGGCAAUUCAUGAGGUUUACACAAGUGGAAAAGUUCUCUCCACCUGUUAUUUUGCCUGCGCUAUGCUGGCACUGCUUUGCGUACCCAUUUGCACCUGCGUUUCAGAUACACGAUUUAAAAACACAAAAGCAGACAUCUCAAUUUGUUUGAUCACAUUGCGAGCUAAAUUAUUUGCAUAUGCUCCACCCAGAAUACGCACAAUAACUGCGCAGCAAUUUUUCACAUUUGACAGACGCCCAGUUAGUAGAUAGGUUUCCACAUUUAUCAGUGUGCGAAAUCUAGUUUUUUUGCACACACAAAUAUUUAGUAAAUCAGGCCCUCAGUGUUGUAACCAGAAGAGGAUCAGUCCAGGUAGCCAUGCCAGUUUGCUGAAAGAUGAAACUCAGUCAAAGGCCCGUGAGGCUGCCAAACAUGCAGAGGUUUCUUUUCUAACCAUAGCUCACAAGGGGAAAGUCUCUCAUUCUCACACUCAAAGCUUUAAGUCUUAUAUGUGGUAAAUUACAUGAUUUCAGUCAGCAUUCUAAACUGCUGGAACGAGGGCACUGUCAACAAGAACAUUCCAGAGGCUCAGAUGUAACAUAGCGGAGCACAUAAUCAACAACAUUCAAACCAUGUAUUGUCAAAAACAGGAUCCGCUGGCCAACGUGGUGUGGCCAAGUGCACAAAAGUGAGAAAUGUGUACCUUGGAAAAUAAAUGUUAUCUGAGUUGGAUCUAAAACAACAAUCAAUUAUCGCAUGUUUAUCACAUUAUACUGGGUAUUAUUAUUUGCUCUAUGAACUAGUUCCCCGUCCACUUCUAUGAUUACAUUCAAUUUUAUUUUUAUUCAAAUUCAGUUGAGUCGACAAGAAAUGUUUUGUUUUUAUUUUCAGCUACCAAAGCAGACUAUAAUCUGAGGAGCCAAACACGCAUUUUCGAAAAUAAUUAAUUACACACUGCGAUAAGUUGAGGUAUGUACAACACACACUUGUGCACUGCCUGUGUACUCUUUGUCAUGCUGCGUGGAAAAUAUUAUAGCAAUUGACAGAUUUACAACUAAAUCAUGGUGCUUUUUAGACCUGUGGCAAAGACAUAAAAGAGGUGAGUCAAUCCUGUAGAAUAUGAAUCGAUUGUGAAAUGCAUACAUUUAUGAUCAAUUAUGGGUCUGUCUAAAACCCAAAUGUCGCAACCCUUUGGUAUUGAACACACACAUAUAUACACACACACACACAUUUAUAUAUAUUCUAUCAGAAGCCUGAAAGUUUUGUGCUAACACUGACUGCUGCAUUAACUUUUCAUAACUAUCUCCACCUUGAUUAAGGCCCCAGUUCCAGCUCAAGAAAAUGAGCCCUAAAGAAUUAUGCUGUUUUGGUGAUAAGCAGUGUUGUGUUUGUGCCAAACUACCUUUUGGAAUUAUGGCCAAAAAGUUCAGCCUUGAUUAAACGGGCCUUAACACAUUUUACCAUGUAUAUUUGGAAUAUUUUUGCUAUGGUCCAAGUGACCCCCAAACCUUUGAAUGUUAAUUUAUAAAUAUACAACAGUGUGUUUCAUGGAAAACAUGAAAUUGUCUAGGUGAUCCCAAAAUGUAUAUAUAUCCAUAUGUAGUAUAUUUGUAUAUAACACACACAUGCACACAAACAAUGCAUUAGUUUAUCUGUUCAUAGUAAACAGUUCAACAUCCUGGGAAAAUGUGCUUUCAGCUCAAAGUUUUCUUUCCUGCGAAAAUUUGCACUGACAUCCUCAUCAAUCACUCAGCAGGCAAAGCAAACGAACGUCAAUGAAGUUAUUUCAAAGAAUGCCAACCUUCACUGGUGAUUUACAUCAUGUGUUGGAGCCUUUACACUAACUGCCUGACCACAAUGAGGAUGGAAAUGAGCUCAUUAGUUUAACAUUAACAGGUAGGUGACACGCUCCAGUGAGCUCGACUCUUAGCUUUGGCUUGUUUCUUGUAAAUGGGUUGUUGCUCCAUUGUUUCAUGUUUGUGAUGGUUCUGCUUCUCUGCAGCACAAACUGAACAUUGUCUGUCCCGAAAUUGAUAAUUUAACUGCCUGUGUGUUGACUCAGUAAAUAUGCUUAGAAAUUAUCUAAUUAGUUUUACAGUAGCAGCUGACAUUAUUCUGAUUUAUUACUGUGAAGAUGUGUGUCCACAUUUUCUAAUAAAGUUAAGUCAUUUUCCUGUUACUUCUAUUAUACACAAAAAGCCACAUUAUGACUGCUUGCACAAUCUAAUGAGAUUAAAUACAAGUACAAAAAAAAAUCGGAUUUUGCCAUUCUGAUUGACAGUCAAAGGAGGAUUGCUUUAAUAAAAUUUAACACAAAACGUUUACUGUACCAUGCUCACAAUAAUAUUAUGACUCCAAUGUAGCUAAACGAGGUAAUAACAUUAUGUUUGUAGAUAUUUCUCAGUAUGAUGGCAGUUUUGUUCUACCCUGCUGCAAACUACAAUCAGAAUAAUAAAAGGUGGUAGUAAUGUUGUGGCCUGUUGUGUGAUGGAAACACAACCACUUGACUUUGCCAUUGUAGUUUUUGAUCUGCAAACUCCCCCAAAAACAUCAGUCCAACCUGCUCACUCAACACUGAGAUGAUUGGACAUGAAAACACAUUUCAGCAAGCAAAUUCCUGUUCUAUCUCAAAACUUAUUCUUGGUGUAUGAGCCUACUUUUCAUCCAUGUGUGGGAGAAGCAGCAGAUCUUAUUGACUUUAGAGGAAAGUGAAAUGCCUGGGUCGCCUAUAUUCAAACUGACAGGCCCAUUUGGAAGCAAUCUUCAAGUAUGUCAUGGAAAAACCGAGACAUCAUGGUGCAAGGGACGUCAGACGUUGCCAGCAUUAAUAUUUUCCUCGGAGACUGGCAGUGAUUGUAGAUUUGACAGGGUUUAAGUACAUGUGCUAGUUCCUCCCCACAAAUCCGUAGGCCACUCUUAAUUUUGAACAGGGAAGAAUAUUUUUGUAUCCUGAGUUUGAUUUGUUUGAUGGCUACAUUAGCCACAGUGAAUUGUGACCAACAAUCGAGGGCAAAAGAUUGGAAGACUUUUAUCAGUGUCACCCCCUCCAGACAGAAAGUUCACGUAAAUGGCUGUAGUCACCUUAAGUCAAUAUCCUGAUGGACGAGAGCACUGUUCGGACCUACUGAAGCUCAGCGCUAAAUAUGGUGGCCCAUCUCACUCAGAUAGUGUGAUGUCUCUAAUCUCUUCACUUGGACUGGUUUCAUCCUCCCACCGAAAAUAUUGUUACACCAGCUUGCCCGUUAUAUUCCGUCUUGGUACGCACAGACACACACACACAUUAUACAAGUUGUUGUAUCAAUAUGAUCAGAAGGCAUUGUUGGUUCCUUGGAACUGAUGCCCAUGAUUGGUAGGCUGGGAUAAUGCGAUUUGGAAACACCAGGGCUCCACUUCACAAACAGGAUCAAACGCAUCUACUGUAACCAUUCAAGAUGAUCCACAGUCAGUACCUCCAAAGUCAGAUAAAAAAAAAAUUUUGACAUACAUUUUGUGAGCUUUACUUCCUCUAUUCUUGUUACUAUUCGAUAAAUGUGUUGCCAUGUUAAUGUACAGACAGACUUAUGAUAAAGGCGUCUGUCCUUAUACAAUGCAGAUCUGGUCAUCUCUCAAAGAUGUUCUGAGUAACCUACUGUAAUGUAGUUCAUUUGAACCGCCAUAAGUGCCAGAGUACAUUUUUUUUGUUUGAUUGUUUUUGCUAAAGAUUAUCUUUCCCCCUUUCCUAAAACACCCUUGUUGUUCAUAUGCAUUUUCCUAAAAUGACAUUCUUCAGACACUAAAAUGGCCGAGCUGUUUGGUACAAUUGUGCCCCUUGUUGCUUUGCCUGACAGCCAGAAAAAUGCCAACAGUGAUUUUCUGAAAAUAGCAUUAGUGUGCACAGCUAUUUUGUUAUACUGUACCCUGGUGUGGGAAAAUGUGUUUUUAAAAAUAUCAGUGUAAGUGUGGAUAUAGCCGAAAUGACAUAAAUUAUGACCCUUUGGGAAAAAAAGUCAAAGACAACUCGAAUAAACAUGACAUGCAUGAGUCACUAGCAUCACCCUCACAGCAAUUAAAUUCACUUUAAACCAACAUCUCAUCUUCUGCUUUCAAUUUAACCAGCUAUACUGUAAUCCCAUGUUUCCAAACCUUCCCAUUUCAGAUGGUCUCAACACACAUUAAUCGCGUGAAGGUUGUUCUCACAUAUAUACAAAUAAACAAACACACACACACAUCCAUCAAACUGGGCUUUCAGAAAAUUGCUGGAAAUCUUAAUUAGGCAAACUCUUUAACAGUAGAUAAUACUAUUUAUCUCCCCAGUGAUUACUAAUUAUAGUUACACUUUCUGCGAGCACUGUACUAAGAAACGUGGAAUGCAAACAGUCGAUUAUUUUAUGGACACAGAAAUCUUUGCCAAGAUUAUGUCUUGUUAUACUACGUACAGUCUCUCCUCAUUUUAGUAUGCUGCAAUGUUUGUACAAGCACUGAACACACAAUAUCUAGUUUGAGCAUAGAAUGUGUCAAGAAAGGUCAUUGACUAUUAUGUAGGUGAUCUGAGGUCCCAAAAACAGUGACAGAGAUAAGCUAUUCAACCAGUCAUUUGGAAACUGGCAAAUUGUUUCUUUAACUCGCACACAUGUAAAGUACAGACCAUCCUGUAGCUUUGGAGACCGAUAUUUGUAAUUGCUCAUUUUGUUUUGGAAAAAAAAAAGCUGUAAAAUCUGAAUAAUAACUGAAGCAAGCUACUUGUGGUAUUAUCUAGCCCAAAUAAAAUGUGGAUUAAAGAGAUUGUAUGAACAAAAACAAAGAAAAAAUAUGGUGUAAUUCUGCAUCCAUCACAUUUGGGGAACGAGAGAAGCAAUGUUGUUCGAAGUAGGGGGAGGGGAACAUUCUCUGAGCACCUAAUCCACCAAAUUCUUGUUCAGGGUCCGAGUCUGAAUUCAGACAGGCUUCAUUGCUAGGCACCGCGACAGGAGGGAUUGCAAAAGGCUGAGGUAAUUGGAUUGGAAUACGGCAUUGAGUGUCAGACAACAAAAGAUAUCCAUCUCCCUCAUGGUUGUUCAGCUCUUUUGUUGCAGGCUGGAAUGUAUUUGGUCAUUUACACUUCUCUUCCAAGCUCAGCAAGGACAGAAGGACAGGAGAGGGCCACCAGGAUGGGAUCAGUCUGGUGGUCUCCCCUGCGUGUUCCGGGCCACAGUGCCUGUGUGAGGAUGCGUGAACCACGGGUCCCCCUACCCCUCCUUCCCAAAGCCCAGGGGUCAUUUGUGUGAUCAUUACCAUAAUCACAUUAAGGCUGCAGGAGAUUAGCACCAUGGCCUCAGAGGAGAAACCCUGCUCUCCACCAUGCUUAACCGGACACUGAGAGCGCUGCUUGGAUACCUGACUGGAAGUAGAUGGGAGACAAAAAGGA